rnacentral:rRNA from 1 species
AACGAACGCUGGCGGCGUGCCUAACACAUGCAAGUCGUGCGAGAAAGUUCCUUCGGGAGCGAGUAAAGCGGCGCACGGGUGAGUAACACGUAGGUAACCUGCCCCCCAGUCUGGAACAACUAGAGGAAACUCUAGCUAAUGCCGGAUGAGACCACGAUCCCUUCGGGGGUUGCGGCCAAAGAUGGCCUCUACUUGUAAGCUAUCGCUGAGGGAUGGGCCUGCGGGCCAUUAGCUUGUUGGUGAGGUAACGGCUCACCAAGGCUGUGAUGGCUAGCUGGUCUGAGAGGAUGACCAGCCACACUGGGACUGAGACACGGCCCAGACUCCUACGGGAGGCAGCAGUGGGGAAUAUUGCGCAAAUGGGCGAAAGCCUGACGCAGCGACGCCGCGUGGGUGAUGAAGGCCUCGGUCGUAAAGCCUCGUCGCAGGGAAGAAGUAAG